rnacentral:rRNA from 1 species
GACGAACGCUGGCGGCAUGCCUAAUACAUGCAAGUCGAGCGGACCCGAGGUGCUUGCACCUCAAUGGGUCAGCGGCGGACGGGUGAGUAACACGUGGGCAACCUGCCCAACAGACUGGGAUAACUCCGGGAAACCGGAGCUAAUACCGGAUAUCCUCUUUUCACCACCUGGUGAAAAGAGAAAAGGCGGUUUCGGCCGCCACUGUUGGAUGGGCCCGCGGCGCAUUAGCUAGUUGGUGAGGGAAGGGCUCACCAAGGCGACGAUGCGGAGCCGACCUGAGAGGGUGAUCGGCCGCACUGGAACUGAGACACGGGCCAGACUCCUACGGGAGGCAGCAGUAGGGAAUCAUCCGCAAUGGGCGAAAGCCUGACGGUGCAAUGCCGCGUGAGUGAUGAAGGUUUUCGGAUCGUAAAGCUCUGUUGUGAGGGAAGAACAAGUUCGGGAGGAAAUGCCCGAGCCGUGACGGUACCUCACCAGAAAGCCACGGCUAACUACGUGCCAGCAGCCGCAGUAA